CGUCUGCCCUGCGGGGGCGCAGGGUGAAAUUUGAGUUAUGAAGAAAGAGAAACUGAGGAAUAGAAGAUCUGAUCAAAACUGCCUCUGCUGGCCUGAAGAGAAAUGUUUUCAAAAUACAACUUUACUUUUUUCCUAUGGCAAGGUUUUGUAUUCUUUCUUCAUACCUCAAAGAAAUUAUAAGUAACACAGCUGGUUUCUUCCUGCUUGUCAUACAAGCUUGUCACAUUCAACCAACACAUAGACCUAAGCUCAAAAGCAAGAAGGAAAGGAAGAGAGUGAAGCAGGAAGGAUGAAUGGAAGGAAGAGAUGAAGGGAGCAAGGAAAGGAAAAUAGUACACAGAUGACAUUUUCUCAGUGCCCAAAUUAUAAUUACUUCAUUAACCAUCACAGUUAAAAUGCAAUGGAUGGUAACUCAACGCCUCACUUAACUCACCUGUGUAAAUUUACUGUGUAAAUGCCUUAAUUCCAGGGAAUCCCCUCGUGUCCUUUCCAUCGUCUCAGUCACAGAAUGGUGAUGACUUCUCAGCUUCUUGGUGUACUUCAUUCAGCAGUGUACUCUGGGGCUUUUCUCCACGAGAUACCUACGAGCUCUGAAGGGCCCAGAACACGGCCCCCAUACUGCAUCAGUCAAGAGGAGCUAGGUUGUGCUGUGUAGCAAUGUGCAAAUCUCAGUGGCUCAGAGCAACAAACACAUAGGUCCAAUUUAUGCCAUGCUCCCGUUGUGGAAAUAUUGGUGUCUCUGCUUCCCGCUCAGGGACCCAGCUGCAGGAGGCUCCUUCUCCGUUCUUCCAUGAUUGCCAAAGCAGGAAAUGACGACAGGGAUAAUUCCGCACUGGCUCUUAAACAUUCCUGCUGGACUACAAUCAAAGCACAUGUUGAUAUGCAAGCAUGAAAAUGUCACAGUGAAACCCAUCUAUUUGUAUGGUUAGUACGUGUUAACAGUUAACAAAAGCUUCAAAGAAACUAUUCCACUUCAAAAGAUGCACACAAAGACUAACAAAAGUGUUAACAGAUCCGCUUACAGAUUUAAUUCUAGGUAAUAAACAAUAAAGAUAUAAAAUCUUUUUUUAAGAAAGAAUCCUACCUGGAGGUGACACAGUCACUCUGAUCACAUCUUAUUGGCCACAGCAAGUCCCAGGACUGUAUCAGUUCAAGGAAAGAAGAAAACUCGGUCCUACGGGCCUAUAAGAGGAGAAAAUUUACACAUUUGGUAACCGACAGUGCCAUCUACAUAUGCCUCCUGAUGUGGAAAAGCUCACUGUCUUUUAGAGAUGGCAAAGGACUACUGUGGACAGAAAAUGAAAUCAUGGGAAUGGAGCUCUCAGCGCUGUGCCUAGGACACGGACCUAAGAAGAAGAAGAAAUUGGAACACAGACGACAUACAGAGAGGACAUAGCAAGGCCAGGUGAGAAUAUGGCAAGAAGGUGACAUCCACAAUCCAAAGAGAGACGCAACCAACACAGCUGACACCUUGAUCUCAGAAUUCCACCCUCCAGAGACGUGAAGCAAUAAAUGUCUGUGGUUUCAGCCACCCAGUCUGUGGCUCUUAGCUACAGCAGCCCAAGCAACUACCACCUGGUGUACAACUCACACACUCAGCAUCCACUUCCUAUAUGUGCCAGACUCACUGGCGAGCAUUUCUCAUGUAUCAUAUUUGACUGACUGUAGACGCACCUUCUCUUCCCAUUGUAAGAUCUCCGAAAUGGGGGGGGGGGGGAACCCGGCAGUAGUUGUUAGCCAGACCACGCAGGCACAGAGGUCGGGUAUCGCUGCUACACAUGCUAAGGUUUGCUGAGGACUCCUUGGGGGCAAAGACGACUCCCACAUUUCAAUCAACAAACAGUUCACAGGCCAUCCAGGAAAGGAAUUUGAAUCCUGGUUGCUGUCUGCAAACCUCCCAUUGACACCUCCUGGUACAUUCAAAAACUCCAAGCAUUGAAAUUUGCAGACUGUGUAACUUGAAGGAAAAAAAAAAUGCUGGGGAUGCAAAUUGAGAACUCUUGCAAGAAUCACAGCAGUGUGAACCCAACUUAGUGGCACAAAGGACAAGAUUAUGUGAAAAAGUACAGACACUGAUGA